rnacentral:rRNA from 1 species
UGGGGAAUCUUCCGCAAUGGACGAAAGUCUGACGGAGCAACGCCGCGUGAGUGAUGACGGCCUUCGGGUUGUAAAGCUCUGUUAAUCGGGACGAAUGGUUCUUGUGCAAAUAGUGCGAGGAUUUGACGGUAACGGAAUAGAAAGCCACGGCUAACUACGUGCCAGCAGCCGCGGUAAUACGUAGGUGGCAAGCGUUGUCCGGAAUUAUUGGGCGUAAAGCGCGCGCAGGCGGAUUGGUCAGUCUGUCUUAAAAGUUCGGGGCUUAACCCCGUGAUGGGAUGGAAACUGCCAAUCUAGAGUAUCGGAGAGGAAAGUGGAAUUCCUAGUGUAGCGGUGAAAUGCGUAGAUAUUAGGAAGAACACCAGUGGCGAAGGCGACUUUCUGGACGAAAACUGACGCUGAGGCGCGAAAGCAAGGGGAGCGAACGGG